UUGAUGGGGCUUCCUGGUUGAGAAAUAUCUCCUGCAAAGAAAGUUUUUGGACUUUUAGACCGUGUGCGAAGCCCAACGGGCCAGCUUUAUGGGUCAAAAGAAUUCCUACCCCAUUUCAGGGUUUGUGAGAACCCAUAGCUAAGGUUAUGGCCGGUUUGGAGAACCUCCAAAUCCCACCUUUGGCUGGCCCCGCCCACCCUGCCUCCCACUCUCACACCCUCCCAGGAGUCUACACAUGGCCCAUUUUGGAUGUGAGGGAAUGCUGAAGUAGGCCACCAGGAUGGAGUCUGGCAUCAAAGGCUUCCUACAGUUUUAAGAGGAUUGUACAGUCAGAAGGUCCAUCCUCAUCCACAGUUUGGUUUAACUUACUUUUUAAUCUAAUCAAAUUGCCAAUAUUCCCGGCUUUGUUGCUAGUUGCUAAUAUAAAUGUUUCUUUACAUUUGCUUCCUGCCAGACUCCCAUGAGCAUUGCUUGCGUGGAAGAUGAUGGAGUGGAGUCUUACUGCUUUGGGGUUUUCAGAGUUGGGAGAUGCAACUACUUUCUUUCUCCAUGAAAUGUUCUGACUACAAUCUCCAUUUGGAAACUAAGCUGGAGUUUUGAACUUAAAUGACUAAAGAACUGGCCUAAUGUUUA